CAUGCAAGUCGAACGGUAACAGGCCCGCAAGGGUGCUGACGAGUGGCGGACGGGUGCGUAAUACAUAGGAAUCUGCCUAAUAGUGGGGGACAACUUAGGGAAACUUAAGCUAAUACCGCAUACGCCCUACGGGGGAAAGCGGGGGAUCGUAAGACCUCGCGCUAAUAGAUGAGCCUAUGUCCGAUUAGCUUGUUGGUGGGGUAAUGGCCUACCAAGGCGACGAUCGGUAGCUGGUCUAAGAGGACGAUCAGCCACACUGGGACUGAGACACGGCCCAGACUCCUACGGGAGGCAGCAGUAGGGAAUAUUGGACAAUGGGCGAAAGCCUGAUCCAGCAAUGCCGCGUGUGUGAAGAAGGCCUGCGGGUUGUAAAGCACUUUCGGUUGGGAAGAAAAGCUGAUAGCUAAUACCUGUCAGUAUUGACGUUACCAAAAUAAGAAGCACCGGCUAACUCUGUGCCAGCAGCCGCGGUAAUACAGAGGGUGCAAGCGUUAAUCGGAAUUACUGGGCGUAAAGCGUGCGUAGGCGGCUAAGUCAGUCGGAUGUGAAAGCCCCAGGCUCAACCUGGGAACUGCAUUCGAUACUACUUGGCUAGAGUAUAGGAGAGGGCAACGGAAUUCCAUGUGUAGCGGUGAAAUGCGUAGAUAUAUGGAGGAACAUCAGUGGCGAANGCGGUUGCCUGGCCUGAUACUGACGCUGAGGUACGAAAGCGUGGGGAGCAAACAGGAUUAGAUACCCUGGUAGUCCACGCCCUAAACGAUGAGAACUAGAUGUUGGGGGAGUCA
rnacentral:rRNA from 1 species